GACAGAGGGCGCAAGCGUUGUUCGGAAUUACUGGGCGUAAAGCGCGCGUAGGCGGAUCUGUUAGUCCGUAAGUGAAAUCCCGCCGCUCAACGGCGGGGCUGCUUGGGAAACGGCAGGUCUGGGGACCGGUAGAGGUCGGUAGAAUUCCCGGUGUAGCGGUGGAAUGCGUAGAGAUCGGGAAGAAUACCCGUGGCGAAGGCGGCCGACUGGGCCGGAUCCGACGCUAAUGCGCGAAAGCGUGGGGAGCGAACAGG
rnacentral:rRNA from 1 species